AUUGAACGCUGGCGGAAUGCUUUACACAUGCAAGUCGAACGGCAGCAUAGGUGCUUGCACCUGAUGGCGAGUGGCGAACGGGUGAGUAAUACAUCGGAACGUGCCCAGUCGUGGGGGAUAACGUAGCGAAAGUUACGCUAAUACCGCAUACGAUCUAAGGAUGAAAGCGGGGGACCGUAAGGCCUCGCGCGAUUGGAGCGGCCGAUGUCAGAUUAGGUAGUUGGUGAGGUAAAGGCUCACCAAGCCGACGAUCUGUAGCUGGUCUGAGAGGACGACCAGCCACACUGGGACUGAGACACGGCCCAGACUCCUACGGGAGGCAGCAGUGGGGAAUUUUGGACAAUGGACGCAAGUCUGAUCCAGCCAUUCCGCGUGCAGGACGAAGGCC
rnacentral:rRNA from 1 species